rnacentral:rRNA from 1 species
AUUGAACGCUGGUGGCAUGCUUUACACAUGCAAGUCGAACGGUAACAGGCCUUCGGGUGCUGACGAGUGGCGAACGGGUGAGUAAUGCAUCGGAACGUGCCCAGAGGUGGGGGAUAACGCAGCGAAAGCUGUGCUAAUACCGCAUGUGAUCUGAGGAUGAAAGCGGGGGACCAGGCAGCAAUGUUUGGCCUCGCGCCUUUGGAGCGGCCGAUGUCAGAUUAGGUAGUUGGUGGGGUAAAGGCCUACCAAGCCGACGAUCUGUAGCUGGUCUGAGAGGACGACCAGCCACACUGGGACUGAGACACGGCCCAGACUCCUACGGGAGGCAGCAGUGGGGAAUUUUGGACAAUGGGCGCAAGCCUGAUCCAGCAAUGCCGCGUGCGGGAAGAAGGCCUUCGGGUUGUAAACCGCUUUUGUACGGAACGAAAAGGCUCUGGCUAAUACCUGGGGCUGAUGACGGUACCGUAAGAAUAAGCACCGGCUAACUACGUG